CCGCCCUGCCGCCUGGGCUCCUUCCUCUCCGGGUCUUUUCUGUAUUCGCCCCGGGCGAGCAUCCCGAGUCAGUAGAAGAGAAAGCCAAGUUAAAAUGUAUUGAAAAAGAAAGAGAAGAGGGAAGAAGUAGAGGAGAGGCCCUGUGUGUUAAGGAAACAGCCUGGGGAGUUGAGAGGCAGCAUUUUGAGACUGGCCAUUUUAACCUCUCCUUGAUGGGACCAACAGAAAUGACAUUUCACAGAUGGAUACCAAAGCUGUUAAAGUUUAAACUCACACUGGCAGUGAAAUUACAGUUUUCACAGGGGCCUUGACUCCAGCCUCCCUCUUUAUCCAUCUCUAAAAGACUGUGAGGUUUGAGAACAAAAACAAGCCACUCUGAGCAAGCAUGGAGCUCAGCUGGUGGGAGUUGAAGCGGCGAGGACACCAGGCGGGCAGAAGUCACAA